AAGGUAGAGCACGUCCAAGCAGUGAGUGGGCAGGACAGGCAAAUCCGUCCUGUAUUAACCAUGAGCUGUGAUGGGGAGCCGAAAUUGAGUAGGCGAAGCCAUUGAUUUCACACUGCCAAGAAAAGCCGCUGGCGAGGACACCCACCGCCCGUACCGUAAACCGACACAGGUAGUUGGGAAGAGAAUUCUAAGGUGAGCGAGCGAACUCUCGUUAAGGAACUCGGCAAAAUGACCCCGUAACUUCGGGAGAAGGGGUGCUCAUAGAGAUAUGAGCCGCAGUGAAUAGGCCCAAGCGACUGUUUAUCAAAAACACAGGUCUCUGCCAAACCGAAAGGUGACGUAUAGGGGCUGACGCCUGCCCGGUGCUGGAAGGUUAAGAGGAGCGCUCAGCGUAAGCGAAGGUGCGAAUCGAAGCCCCAGUAAACGGCGGCCGUAACUAUAACGGUCCUAAGGUAGCGAAAUUCCUUGUCAGGUAAGUUCUGACCCGCACGAAAGGCGCAACGAUUUGGGCACUGUCUCAACGAGAGGCUCGGUGAAAUCAUAGUACCUGUGAAGAUGCAGGUUACCCGCGACAGGACGGAAAGACCCCGUGGAGCUUUACUGUAACCUGAUAUUGAAUCUUGACCUCACCUGUACAGGAUAGGUGGGAGCCAACGAAGUGUGGACGCCAGUCUACACGGAGGCACUGGUGGGAUACCACCCUGGUGUGGUUGGGAUUCUAACCCGCGCCCGUGAUCCGGGCGGGAGACAGUGUCAGGUGGACAGUUUGACUGGGGCGGUCGCCUCCUAAAGAGUAACGGAGGCGCUCAAAGGUUCCCUCAGAAUGGUUGGAAAUCAUUCACAGAGUGUAAAGGUAUAAGGGAGCUUGACUGCGAGACAUACAGGUCGAGCAGGGUCGAAAGACGGACUUAGUGAUCCGGUGGUUCCGCAUGGAAGGGCCAUCGCUCAACGGAUAAAAGCUACCCCGGGGAUAACAGGCUUAUCUCCCCCAAGAGUUCACAUCGACGGGGAGGUUUGGCACCUCGAUGUCGGCUCAUCGCAUCCUGGGGCUGUAGUCGGUCCCAAGGGUUGGGCUGUUCGCCCAUUAAAGCGGUACGCGAGCUGGGUUCAGAACGUCGUGAGACAGUUCGGUCCCUAUCCGUCGUGGGCGUAGGAAAUUUGAGAGGCGCUGUCCUUAGUACGAGAGGACCGGGAUGGACAUACCACUGGUGUACCAGUUGUCGUGCCAACGGCAUCGCUGGGUAGCUAUGUAUGGCCGGGAUAAGUGCUGAAAGCAUCUAAGCAUGAAGCCCCCCUCAAGAUGAGAUUUCCCCAUUAGAUCCCUCAGAGAUGAUGAGGUAGAUAGGUUCGGCGUGUACGUGUGGCAACACAUUCAGCGGACGAAUACUAAUCGAUCGAUGACUUAUUCA
rnacentral:rRNA from 1 species